rnacentral:rRNA from 1 species
AAUAGAUACCCCGGUAGUCCACGCCGUAAACGAUGUCGACUUGGAGGUUGUUCCCUUGAGGAGUGGCUUCCGGAGCUAACGCGUUAAGUCGACCGCCUGGGGAGUACGGCCGCAAGGUUAAAACUCAAAUGAAUUGACGGGGGCCCGCACAAGCGGUGGAGCAUGUGGUUUAAUUCGAUGCAACGCGAAGAACCUUACCUACUCUUGACAUCCAGAGAACUUAGCAGAGAUGCUUUGGUGCCUUCGGGAACUCUGAGACAGGUGCUGCAUGGCUGUCGUCAGCUCGUGUUGUGAAAUGUUGGGUUAAGUCCCGCAACGAGCGCAGCCCUUAUCCUUUGUUGCCAGCGGUUCGGCCGGGAACUCAAAGGAGACUGCCAGUGAUAAACUGGAGGAAGGUGGGGAUGACGUCAAGUCAUCAUGGCCCUUACGAGUAGGGCUACACACGUGCUACAAUGGCGUAUACAAAGAGAAGCGACCUCGCGAGAGCAAGCGGACCUCAUAAAGUACGUCGUAGUCCGGAUUGGAGU